AAUCAGUUGGCUUAUAAUUGAAGUCUAGUAUGAAUGGGAGCUCGGGGAUAUUCUGUCCUUUAUUUACGAUUAGAAAUUACUAAUUAAGUGAAAAUUCUUAAACCUUUAGAAAAAAGACGAGAAGACCCUAGAAAUUUUUUAUUAUAUAUUUUGUUGGGGCGACAAGGUAACAUAAAACUUACCUAUACAAUAGGAAAUUUUUUAGUUGGGUAAAUAAAUUACUCUAGGGAUAACAGCAUAAUAUUUUAAAGUUUGUGACCUCGAUGUUGGACUAGGAAAUACCCUACUUAAAAGGUAGUUUAUAUAGUU
rnacentral:rRNA from 1 species